rnacentral:lncRNA from 1 species
AUUUCUCUAACAGACAGCAGCUGACAGAUUGGAAGAAUCUGGUUCAAAGUGUUAGAUAAGUUUCAACUCUAAUAACUUGCAGUUUGCUGUACGUGGACAACUUUCCAGAUGAUCUCUAAGGCUCCAUGGAACUCCAGAACCUGCAUUCCGUCAUUAGAAUCUACCUGCUAGUAUUGCCAACUGACUGACUCAGUGAGCUUUGGGUGAACUGGUGCUCUCUCUAUGCAAGAAAAUGAUCCCAUAAUUUUUAUGUGACUCAUAUGCAAAAUGAAGUGCAUUCAUCCAUCUAUGUGGUCUACUGAUGGGAAAUAAAAUCAGAUAUUUCACUUCUGACUUCAUCAAGCAAAAGAAAAAUCAGUUGUGAUUCCAAGAAGAGAUGAACUCAAUUGAAAAAUCGCACAGCAUGAGAAAUAACCAUGGAGGGACAGUCAUUUUGCUCUGAAGAAGGAGAAUCCUUACGCAUACACCUUUUCUGAAAUUGUUUUUACCACAUGGUCUCAAGUUUUCAGUCUUUGAAGUUCUUCUAUGACACGGGGAGAAACUCAAGAGACCAAAAAAUACAAAAGUCAGAUACUGAAAAGCUCCCAUGAAAGUGGACAUCCUUGACAGCUGACAAACACAUAAUGUGAAUGUAAUAAAGCAUGGCAAAUAUUGAUGUGUUUCAUGAAUACGUGGAUGCCUUUUGAGGGAACUUAACUGAAGACAAGUACGAAGGUAGAUCUACUGAUGAAUUCCUCUUUACUUUCAACGUCAAGGAGAGAAAAGGAGAUACCAAAGGAGCUGAGAAGAGAAAUGAUCAAAUAGCUGCAUCUCAGUUGGUGAAAAUCACACCAAAUCCUUUUGAGUAUGCACCACAAUCUGAAAUUGUCUUUUUUCUUUACUUAUUCACUUCUUUGUUGUAUCUCCUCAUUUAGAAUGUGAGAUCCAAGAUGGCAAAGAUCUUGUGUGUUUUGUUCAUCACUUUAACCCAUUGCCUAAAAUUGCAUAAGGCCAUGGUAGGUGCUCAAUAAAAAAAUGCUCAAUGAAUGAAUGAGGAAUUGAGAGAUUGAGAUUCUAGUUUUUCCUGCAACGAAGUAGCCGGGGGACCUUAGGAUAAUCACUGAACCUCUUAGAGGCUCAAUUUCUUCACCUUUAAAAUGAUAGAAUAGAACAGAUGGCUAAUGUUUCUUGCAGUACUAGUAUUUAUUGAUGGUAUGCAUGUUUCAAGGGUUCAUUUGGUAACCAACUAAUGUUUUCACAAGAAACAUUUCAUUCCUGAUUAAACCAUGUUUUUUGUCUAAGUCCAGUUUUGGUUAUUCAGAUGCCC